ensembl:snoRNA M01D1.11 ncRNA
AUCACUUUCUGUCUAUAAUCAACCCAUCGAAAAUUGAUUUGUCUUAUUAUCAAAGGUAUAAUGAGUUUGACGAUGCCGAAUUUGAAACCCUCAAAGAAUUCUUGAAAGGUCAU